GAGCACUGAAGACAAACCCUCUUCCGUUCCUAAGUACUAGUGCCGCAGGAGUGUGCUUGAGUAAUUUCUCCUGCUGCUCAAGUGCUUAUCAAUGGGAAGGGACGCCCUCCAAUGGAUGAG
rnacentral:pre_miRNA from 12 species